rnacentral:rRNA from 1 species
UACCAGCACCCCGAGUGGUCGGGACGUUUAUUGCCUAAAGCAUCCGUAGCCGGUUCUACAAGUCUUCCGUUAAAUCCACCUGCUUAACAGAUGGGCUGCGGAAGAUACUAUAGAGCUAGGAGGCGGGAGAGGCAAGCGGUACUCGAUGGGUAGGGGUAAAAUCCGUUGAUCCAUUGAAGACCACCAGUGGCGAAGGCGGCUUGCCAGAACGCGCUCGACGGUGAGGGAUGAAAGCUGGGGGAGCAAACCGG